GAUGAACGCUGGCGGCAUGCCUAAUACAUGCAAGUCGAGCGAACGGACGAGAAGCUUGCUUCUCUGAUGUUAGCGGCGGACGGGUGAGUAACACGUGGAUAACCUACCUAUAAGACUGGGAUAACUUCGGGAAACCGGAGCUAAUACCGGAUAAUAUUUUGAACCGCAUGGUUCAAAAGUGAAAGACGGUCUUGCUGUCACUUAUAGAUGGAUCCGCGCUGCAUUAGCUAGUUGGUAAGGUAACGGCUUACCAAGGCAACGAUGCAUAGCCGACCUGAGAGGGUGAUCGGCCACACUGGAACUGAGACACGGUCCAGACUCCUACGGGAGGCAGCAGUAGGGAAUCUUCCGCAAUGGGCGAAAGCCUGACGGAGCAACGCCGCGUGAGUGAUGAAGGUCUUCGGAUCGUAAAACUCUGUUAUUAGGGAAGAACAUAUGUGUAAGUAACUGUGCACGUCUUGACGGUACCUAAUCAGAAAGCCACGGCUAACUACGUG
rnacentral:rRNA from 1 species